rnacentral:tRNA from 1 species
AAAAUCCGUCGACUUUAGAAAUCA